UACGGAGGAUCCAAGCGUUAUCCGGAUUUAUUGGGUUUAAAGGGUGCGUAGGCGGCAGAUUAAGUUAGAGGUGAAAUUCCGAGGCUCAACCUUGGCACUGCCUCUGAUACUGGUUUGCUAGCGAGUAGAUGCUGUAGGCGGAAUGUGUGGUGUAGCGGUGAAAUGCAUAGAGAUCACACAGAACACCGAUUGCGAAGGCAGCUUACAAAUCUAUAUCGGACGCUGAGGCACGAAAGCGUGGGGAGCAAACAGGAUUAGAUACCCUAGUAGUCCAUUGGCUCGUACGGUGCCAGCAGCCGCGGUA
rnacentral:rRNA from 1 species